rnacentral:tRNA from 1 species
GGAGUUAUGGCUCAAGUGGUAGGGCACCUGUCUAGCAAGCACAAAGCCCUGAGUUCAAACCUCAGUUCUGCCA